rnacentral:tRNA from 1 species
GAUUCUGUAGUUUAUAUAAAACAUAAAAUUGCAAAUUUUAAAAAGACAAAAUCCAGAAUUU